GACGAACGCUGGCGGCGUGCUUAACACAUGCAAGUCGAGCGGAAAGGCCCUUCGGGGUACUCGAGCGGCGAACGGGUGAGUAACACGUGAGUAACCUGCCCCAGACUUUGGGAUAACCCCCGGAAACGGGGGCUAAUACCGGAUACGACACAGCUUCGCAUGGGGUCUGUGUGGAAAGUUUUUCGGUUUGGGAUGGGCUCGCGGCCUAUCAGCUUGUUGGUGGGGUGAUGGCCUACCAAGGCGACGACGGGUAGCCGGCCUGAGAGGGCGACCGGCCACACUGGGACUGAGACACGGCCCAGACUCCUACGGGAGGCAGCAGUGGGGAAUAUUGCACAAUGGGCGGAAGCCUGAUGCAGCGACGCCGCGUGAGGGAUGACGGCCUUCGGGUUGUAAACCUCUUUCAGCAGGGACGAAGCGUAAGUGACGGUACCUGCAGAAGAAGCGCCGGCCAACUACGUG
rnacentral:rRNA from 1 species